CCUACGGGUGGCAGCAGUGAGGAAUAUUGGUCAAUGGCCGGAAGGCUGAACCAGCCAAGCCGCGUGAGGGAGGAAGGCGCAGAGCGUCGCAGACCUCUUUUGCCGGGGGACAAAAGGCCGGACUCGUCCGGUCCUGAGGGUACCCGGAGAAAAAGCAUCGGCUAACUCCGUGCCAGCAGCCGCGGUAAUACGGAGGAUGCGAGCGUUAUCCGGAUUCAUUGGGUUUAAAGGGUGCGCAGGCGGGCCUUUAAGCCGGCGGUGAAAUCGCGGGGCUCAACCCCGCCGAGUCGUCGGAACUGGGGGCCUGGAGUGCGGCGGAGGCAUGCGGAAUGCGCGGUGUAGCGGUGAAAUGCAUAGAUAUCACGCAGAACUCCGAUCGCGAAGGCAGCCUACCGGCGCGCAACUGACGCUCAUGCACGAAAGCGUGGGUAUCGAACAGGAUUAGAUACCCCAGUAGUC
rnacentral:rRNA from 1 species